GGGAGCUUAAAGCAAUUUUUCCAGAAUAUAAGUAAGUUUCACUGACAAGUGUGUCAUAAUUAAUUCAACAUUUGACAAAGAAGAAAUAUGCAGACCAAAGUUAUGUUGAUUGUUCUGAUCCUAGCGGUGGUGCUAAUAACAUCUAACGCUCAACAGACCUGCAGAGGGCGCUGCGAUAAUAAAACAUCAGUAUGUCAAAGAGAGUGUAAAAUUAAAAAUAACAGCAUUAAAAAGCAACAGAAGUGCGUUGAUAAAUGUUGGAAAGAUAAUAGUAAAUGCAAGAAGAAAUGCAGGAAAGGACGAGAUCUUGAUCUACUAGACUCCCUGGAAGAUGAAGAAGAUUUAUAUGAUUUGAUGUUCUAUUAGUCACAGACGGAAAAACCGGUAGUAACACACGGAAAUAUAAGUUUAACAGACAUUUCAUUAAAGAUUCCUAUGUUCUCUCAAUUUUUUUUUUAAAUGAUAUUUAAUCGUGUCAGAAAUUAACAGACCAGCGGAAUCAUGUAAUAUUUCAUAUCAUUUGAAUGUUUGAUGUUUACUGUUUUUACUGACAUUUUUUAAAAGUAAAUGUUCGGGGAUCAUGUCCUCAUGUAUCCUGUAUUUUCAUGCUGUCCAUCAUCAGAAUCCCAUUUUUCGUAAUAUUAAAAAAUUAUAUGCAUUACCUUGACUUUAAAGAAAACGUCUUUAUUUGUUUAAAAAUGAAUACAUAUAAAAAUAUAGAUACGUGU